UACGUAGGGGGCUAGCGUUGUCCGGAAUCAUUGGGCGUAAAGAGCGCGUAGGCGGCCAGAUAAGUCCGGUGUGAAAGUCAAAGGCUCAACCUUUGAAUGCCGCUGGAAACUGUCUGGCUAGAGUCCGGGAGGGGCGAGUGGAAUUCCUGGUGUAGCGGUGAAAAUGCGCAGAUAUCAGGAGGAACACCAAUGGCGAAGGCAGCUCGCUGGAACGGUACUGACGCUGAGGCGCGAAAGGCGUGGGGGAGCAAACAGG
rnacentral:rRNA from 1 species